rnacentral:rRNA from 1 species
UACAGAGGUCCCGAGCGUUGUUCGGAUUCAUUGGGCGUAAAGGGUGCGUAGGCGGUUUCCUAAGUUUGAUGUGAAAUCCCGGGGCUUAACCCUGGAAUUGCAUUGAAUACUGGGAGACUAGAGUACUGGAGAGGAAACUGGAAUUUACGGUGUAGCAGUGAAAUGCGUAGAGAUCGUAAGGAAGACCAGUGGCGAAGGCGAGUUUCUGGACAGUUACUGGACGCUGAGGCACGAAGGCCAGGGGGAGCAAACGGG